CUAACCCAGUUGAGCAGCUAUACAAUAAUAACAAUUAUGAGCUUCAUUAAAAAAAGUUUAAAUAAUUGCAAGCAGAAAUUGUUUUCCUUUCUACUUUGUUGCAAGUGUCAUCUAUUGUAAUUAUAUUUUCGUUAGUUUUAGCAUAGAGCAAGUGCUAAACUAAGCAAAAAAUCGACCAAUUUGGAAUAUAAUGGGGUGUUACUUUGGGCAUUAGUUUAUCAACUCAUUCAGUUGGCAGCUGCUUUAGUGCGCUCGUUGCACGUUCGCAUCUUCUGGCUGGCAAUGAUGCUUAAUCCUUGCCACGUACUCCCAUCUAAUUGUAUAAAAGCGUUUCCGUUACGUACGCCAUUUUCACACACCCACACGAACGCACACGAGCACAUGGACGAGCAAGAAAGCUGCUGAGUCCUCACUCACACUUACUAGAGCGAGAGAAAGAGACAGGUCAAGUGCUCCAUCUCUGUCACGGCGUGUGUGUGUGUGUGUGUGUGUGUGUGUGUGUGUUUGUGUUGGCGCAAACUUCAAGUCAAAGUAUCUAAACGCACAGUUUUUCUGUAUCCAAAACUGCAUUAAAUGCCAUAAAAUAA